GACGAACGCUGGCGGCGUGCUUAACACAUGCAAGUCGAACGGAAAGGCCCUGCUUUUGUGGGGUGCUCGAGUGGCGAACGGGUGAGUAACACGUGAGUAACCUGCCCUUGACUUUGGGAUAACUUCAGGAAACUGGGGCUAAUACCGGAUAGGAGCUCCUGCUGCGUGGUGGGGGUUGGAAAGUUUCGGCGGUUGGGGAUGGACUCGCGGCUUAUCAGCUUGUUGGUGGGGUAGUGGCUUACCAAGGCGUUGACGGGUAGCCGGCCUGAGAGGGUGACCGGCCACAUUGGGACUGAGAUACGGCCCAGACUCCUACGGGAGGCAGCAGUGGGGAAUAUUGCACAAUGGGCGGAAGCCUGAUGCAGCAACGCCGCGUGAGGGAUGACGGCCUUCGGGUUGUAAACCGCUUUUGGCUGUGACGAAGCGUGAGUGACGGUAAUGGGUAAAGAAGCACCGGCUAACUACGUG
rnacentral:rRNA from 1 species